GCCAUAGGAACUAACAUUUUAAACUGAUUUUUAAUAUUUCAAUAUCAAAAUAGAUCUUUACUAGUGGAAAGACCUACAAUUGUUCUCUGAACAAUUGGUUUUUAAUUAUUAUUAUUAUUAUUUUUUUUUUUUUUUUUCUUCCGCCUAAUUUUUUUUCUUGCGUAGUAUUGAUGUUUCAAAAGAUGUCGCUUAGAUAUUUGGAAUAUGAUAUCGUAUAGUUUAUACGCUUUAAAAAUUUACAACUGUGUAACAAAAUACUUUACGUUGUAAGAGUUAUCUCCCCAAACACUGUUUUUCUUGUGGCCACUACUCCUUCGCAACCGUAAAAGAUUACGACAAAUUUAUUUUACCAAAUUGCUCGUUACAUCUUCAGGAUUAGGAUAUUCAUUUGGACCGAAGCUAU
rnacentral:lncRNA from 1 species